rnacentral:rRNA from 1 species
AGAGUUUGAUCCUGGCUCAGGAUGAACGCUAGCGGGAGGCUUAACACAUGCAAGUCGAGGGGCAGCAUUACUUUCGGGUAGAUGGCGACCGGCGCACGGGUGAGUAACGCGUAUGCAACCUACCUUUUACAGAGGGAUAGCCCAGAGAAAUUUGGAUUAAUACCUCAUAGUACUAUUUUUUCGCAUGAUAAGAUAGUUGAAGUUUCGGCGGUAAAAGAUGGGCAUGCGUGACAUUAGAUUGUUGGCGGGGUAACGGCCCACCAAGUCUGCGAUGUCUAGGGGUUCUGAGAGGAUGAUCCCCCACACUGGUACUGAGACACGGACCAGACUCCUACGGGAGGCAGCAGUGAGGAAUAUUGGUCAAUGGACGCAAGUCUGAACCAGCCAUCCCGCGUGAAGGAUGACGGUCCUAUGGAUUGUAAACUUCUUUUAUGUACCAAGAAUGUGCCUUACGUGUAAGGUUUUGACGGUAGUACAUGAAUAAGCAUCGGCUAACUCCGUGCCAGCAGCCGCGGUAUACGGAGGAUGCGAGCGUUAUCCGGAUUCAUUGGGUUUAAAGGGUGCGUAGGCGGCUUAUUAAGUCAGUGGUGAAAUCCUGCGGCUCAACCGUAGAACUGCCAUUGAAACUGAUAAGCUUGAAUAUAGUUGAGGUAGGCGGAAUGAGUAGUGUAGCGGUGAAAUGCUUAGAGAUUACUCAGAACACCGAUUGCGAAGGCAGCUUACUAAACUAUUAUUGACGCUGAGGCACGAAAGCGUGGGGAGCGAACAGGAUUAGAUACCCUGGUAGUCCACGCCGUAAACGAUGUUCACUCGCUGCUUGCGAUACAUAGUAAGUGGCCAAGCGAAAGCAUUAAGUGAACCACCUGGGGAGUACGUCGGCAACGGUGAAACUCAAAGGAAUUGACGGGGGCCCGCACAAGCGGAGGAACAUGUGGUUUAAUUCGAUGAUACGCGAGGAACCUUACCUGGGCUUAAAUGUAGAUUGCAUGUGGAGGAAACACCCUUCUCUUCGGAGCUAUCUACAAGGUGCUGCAUGGUUGUCGUCAGCUCGUGCCGUGAGGUGUCGGGUUAAGUCCCAUAACGAGCGCAACCCCUAUCGUUAGUUGCCAUCAGGUUAAGCUGGGGACUCUAACGAGACUGCCACCGUAAGGUGAGAGGAAGGUGGGGAUGACGUCAAAUCAGCACGGCCCUUAUGUCCAGGGCUACACACGUGUUACAAUGGCAGGUACAAAGGGCAGCUACACCGUGAGGUGAUGCUAAUCUCUAAAGCCUGUCUCAGUUCGGAUCGGAGUCUGCAACUCGACUCCGUGAAG